rnacentral:rRNA from 1 species
UACAGAGGAGCCAAGCGUUGUCCGGAUUGACUGGGCGUAAAGCGCACGCAGGCGGAUGCGCGCGUGGGGUGUGAAAUCUGGCCGCUUAACGGCCAGGCGCCAUCCCAUACGGCGUGUCUGGAGGGCUGCAGAGGUCGAUGGAAUUGCCGGUGUAGUGGUGAAAUUCGUAGAUAUCGGGAGGAACACCAGUGGCGAAGGCGGCGACCUGGGCCAAUAUUGACGCUGAGGUGCGAAAGCGUGGGGAGCAAACAGG